rnacentral:misc_RNA from 1 species
AACGCACCUUGCACCCUGGGGUAUUCCCUAGGGUAUGUCUGUCUGAGUGUCAUUUGAACUCUCAAGGUCCCUUUCCUUUGAUCGGGUUUGGGUGCUUUGGAUCCUGGGCGCUUGCUGGCUUUGCCUGCUCGCCUCAAAUCGAAUGUGGUGGUUUUCUCUGAAGCCUAUGUCGGGUUUGACCUGGAGUGAUAGAAGUCUUUCGAGAUCUCUGGGGACGCCUUAGGGCGACCUGCUAUGGUGGGAGGAAUUGCCUAGUUAGACUUAUCUGACGUUUUCGACCUCAGAUCAGGCAGGACUACCCGCUGAACUUAA